rnacentral:rRNA from 1 species
AUUGAACGCUGGCGGCAUGCUUUACACAUGCAAGUCGAACGGUAACAGGCCUUCGGGUGCUGACGAGUGGCGAACGGGUGAGUAAUGCAUCGGAACUUACCCAGAGGUGGGGGAUAACGCAGCGAAAGCUGUGCUAAUACCGCAUGUGAUCUGAGGAUGAAAGCGGGGGACCGAGCAGCAAUGUUUGGCCUCGCGCCUUUGGAGCGGCCGAUGUCGGAUUAGCUAGUUGGUGGGGUAAAGGCCUACCAAGGCGACGAUCCGUAGCUGGUCUGAGAGGACGACCAGCCACACUGGGACUGAGACACGGCCCAGACUCCUACGGGAGGCAGCAGUGGGGAAUUUUGGACAAUGGGCGCAAGCCUGAUCCAGCAAUGCCGCGUGCGGGAAGAAGGCCUUCGGGUUGUAAACCGCUUUUGGCAGGAACGAAACGGUGUCCGCUAAUACCGGGCGCUAAUGACGGUACCUGCAGAAUAAGCACCGGCUAACUACGUG